CGCUCUUAAGGGUGGGCCGGUAUAAACAGUAGAAGUCGAGCGGACAGACGAGGAGCUUGCUCCUUUGAAGUUAGCGGCGGACGGGUGAGUAACACGUGGGUAACCUACCUAUAAGACUGGGAUAACUUCGGGAAACCGGAGCUAAUACCGGAUAAUAUUUCGAACCGCAUGGUUCGAUAGUGAAAGAUGGCUUUGCUAUCACUUAUAGAUGGACCUGCGCCGUAUUAGCUAGUUGGUAAGGUAACGGCUUACCAAGGCAACGAUACGUAGCCGACCUGAGAGGGUGAUCGGCCACACUGGAACUGAGACACGGUCCAGACUCCUACGGGAGGCAGCAGUAGGGAAUCUUCCGCAAUGGGCGAAAGCCUGACGGAGCAACGCCGCGUGAGUGAUGAAGGUCUUCGGAUCGUAAAACUCUGUUAUUAGGGAAGAACAAACGUGUAAGUAACUGUGCACGUCUUGACGGUACCUAAUCAGAAAGCCACGGCUAACUACGUGCCAGCAGCCGCGGUAAUACGUAGGUGGCAAGCGUUAUCCGGAAUUAUUGGGCGUAAAGCGCGCGUAGGCGGUUUUUUAAGUCUGAUGUGAAAGCCCACGGCUCAACCGUGGAGGGUCAUUGGAAACUGGAAAACUUGAGUGCAGAAGAGGAAAGUGGAAUUCCAUGUGUAGCGGUGAAAUGCGCAGAGAUAUGGAGGAACACCAGUGGCGAAGGCGACUUUCUGGUCUGUAACUGACGCUGAUGUGCGAAAGCGUGGGGAUCAAACAGGAUUAGAUACCCUGGUAGUCCACGCCGUAAACGAUGAGUGCUAAGUGUUAGGGGGUUUCCGCCCCUUAGUGCUGCAGCUAACGCAUUAAGCACUCCGCCUGGGGAGUACGACCGCAAGGUUGAAACUCAAAGGAAUUGACGGGGACCCGCACAAGCGGUGGAGCAUGUGGUUUAAUUCGAAGCAACGCGAAGAACCUUACCAAAUCUUGACAUCCUUUGACCCUUCUAGAGAUAGAAGUUUCCCCUUCGGGGGACAAAGUGACAGGUGGUGCAUGGUUGUCGUCAGCUCGUGUCGUGAGAUGUUGGGUUAAGUCCCGCAACGAGCGCAACCCUUAAGCUUAGUUGCCAUCAUUAAGUUGGGCACUCUAAGUUGACUGCCGGUGACAAACCGGAGGAAGGUGGGGAUGACGUCAAAUCAUCAUGCCCCUUAUGAUUUGGGCUACACACGUGCUACAAUGGACAAUACAAAGGGCAGCGAAACCGCGAGGUCAAGCAAAUCCCAUAAAGUUGUUCUCAGUUCGGAUUGUAGUCUGCAACUCGACUACAUGAAGCUGGAAUCGCUAGUAAUCGUAGAUCAGCAUGCUACGGUGAAUACGUUCCCGGGUCUUGUACACACCGCCCGUCACACCACGAGAGUUUGUAACACCCGAAGCCGGUGGAGUAACCAUUUGGAGCAUACCUAUAGAGUAGAGUUGGUCCCCGGUCCCCC
rnacentral:rRNA from 1 species